rnacentral:pre_miRNA from 1 species
GUGAGUGUUUCUUUGGCAGUGUCUUAGCUGGUUGUUGUGAGUAUUGGUGCAGGAAGCAAUCAGCAAGUAUACUGCCCUAGAAGUGCUGCAC